rnacentral:rRNA from 1 species
UACGGGGGGGGCAAGCGUUGUUCGGAAUUACUGGGCGUAAAGGGCGCGUAGGCGGUCAGAUAAGUCAGCUGUGAAAACCUCGGGCUUAACCCGAGGCCUGCAGUUGAAACUGUUUGGCUGGAGUGUGGGAGAGGAUGGCGGAAUUCCCCAAGUAGAGGUGAAAUUCGUAGAUAUGGGGAGGAACACCGGUGGCGAAGGCGGCCAUCUGGACGGAUACUGACGCUGAGACGCGAAAGCGUGGGGAGCAAACAGG